rnacentral:lncRNA from 1 species
AGGAGAUGGAAAACAAGACACAUUAAAUGUAAUGAGUGAAGGUAAGGAAGAUACUCCCUCAUUACUUGGCCUCUGUGGAUCUCUAACGUCAGUGGCAAGUUACAAGUCUCUAACAAGCUUAAAAUCUAAUGACUACCUUGCAAGUCCUACAACAGAGAUGACAAGUCCAGGCCUAACUCCAUCCUGAAAAUUUUUGUGUAAAAGCCAAAACUUUUUAUGUUGUAAAUGUUUAAUUUACAUGUUUGACUGCUGGGAAGACCUUUGAAAUUUUAUAUUGUUCUGGUACAUGUCUGAAAUUCUAUUGCUUGGAGAGAAUCCCCUCCAGAUAAGAGAUUUUGAGUGAAAAACAUAAUGAUCCUGCCAUUUUUCAUUUUUAAAAUUCUUACAUUUGUCAUUGAGAAAGUUCAAAAUGGAAUAGGCUUUAAAAAAAAAAAAACUUUCAAAGAUCCGCCAAAUCAUUCAUAGCAAAUUGUACAUAUUGUUCAGCUGAUUUUUAUAUAUUUAAAUACACCUUAGUGGCCAGAGACUGACUUCAAGGUUUUAUUCCAGAGACUCCAGAGACUUAAGCUAAGUAUUUUUUCAUUCUUUCAGAUUUUC